GGAAAGUCGCACGGUACAGGGUGAUAGUCCCGUACACAAAAAUGCAUAUGUUGUGAGUUCGAUGAGUAGGGCGGGACACGUGACAUCCUGUCUGAAUAUGGGGGGACCAUCCUCCAAGGCUAAAUACUCCUGACUGACCGAUAGUGAACCAGUACCGUGAGGGAAAGGCGAAAAGAACCCCGGCGAGGGGAGUGAAAUAGAACCUGAAACCGUGUACGUACAAGCAGUGGGAGCACCUUCGUGGUGUGACUGCGUACCUUUUGUAUAAUGGGUCAGCGACUUAUAUUUUGUAGCAAGGUUAACCGAAUAGGGGAGCCGUAGGGAAACCGAGUCUUAACUGGGCGAAUAGUUGCAAGGUAUAGACCCGAAACCCGGUGAUCUAGCCAUGGGCAGGUUGAAGGUUGGGUAACACUAACUGGAGGACCGAACCGACUAAUGUUGAAAAAUUAGCGGAUGACUUGUGGCUGGGGGUGAAAGGCCAAUCAAACCGGGAGAUAGCUGGUUCUCCCCGAAAGCUAUUUAGGUAGCGCCUCGUGAACUCAUCUUCGGGGGUAGAGCACUGUUUCGGCUAGGGGGUCAUCCCGACUUACCAAACCGAUGCAAACUCCGAAUACCGAAGAAUGUUAUCACGGGAGACACACGGCGGGUGCUAACGUCCGUCGUGAAGAGGGAAACAACCCAGACCGCCAGCUAAGGUCCCAAAGUCAUGGUUAAGUGGGAAACGAUGUGGGAAGGCAUAGACAGCCAGGAUGUUGGCUUAGAAGCAGCCAUCAUUUAAAGAAAGCGUAAUAGCUCACUGGUCGAGUCGGCCUGCGCGGAAGAUGUAACGGGGCUAAACCAUGCACCGAAG
rnacentral:rRNA from 1 species